AGACACAACAGCAGCAAGCUCUUCAGAAAGUUUAGACUUUAUUGCACAGUUGCACAAAGCCGGAUCAAUUCAGCCGAAUUGAACCUCGAUUGUCAGUUUUGCAUACAUUUUAUAAACAAAUUGUACCCCACAACUCCCCUUAACACAUUUCUAAAAAAUACCAGCCAUCUGGUCUUCUUGGCACCAUAAUGAUUUUAAUUUCCUGCUCUUGGGUCAACCUGACCUUCUUGGCACCACAAUGAUUUUCUGUUCUUAGGUGAUAUCAUCAUUGUGGAAAGUUACCCCAACUUUCCCUUAGAAAAAUAUCAGUCUUUACUCUGUAAUUUUCCAUUAUGCAUACAAGUCACAGUCUUCUGUAAUUUUCCAUUAAGCAUACAAGUUACAUAGGGGUCACUGUAAAAUAUUAGUCUUCUAGUACUUCUAUUUGGCAAUAAUUUUCUGCUGAGUAAGUAUGGUUUUUUUAAGCCUUCUGCAUUUGCUUUUUUUUCUACAGUGGAUACUGUGGUUUCUUGCGUUUCCAUAAGCUUAGCUGCAACUACUGAUAUAGGUUUAUUGGAUUACAUAUGGAUUAUAUUAGUAUAUAGUUAUACAUGUGAUAUAUUUUUAUCAUGCAGCAUCGAGAGUUUGGAGGAAACAGUCUGAUCAACAUUGAUGGGAAUA